rnacentral:misc_RNA from 1 species
AGGGUAGACAAUUGGAAUCAUGCAGAAGCAAUUGUUUUCUUUAUUAAUGUAAGACAAGAACAUCGUAAUUAAUUAUACUCCUAUUCUUUAAAAUUUUUUAAUGGAAUGUUAGCCUGUAGCUAGAGAUCGACCAACCAGCAAAGCCAUGACGUCACUUGUUUUCUUGGCAACCAAGAUUAGAAUUUCCCGUUUAUAAUACUUCCAAAAAGAAAGAACAAAAUGCUCUUUUCUCGUAGCCAGCCAGAAGAAAUAUUGCAGCUACAAAUACCUCAAGCUCAUCAUCCUUAUCCUCAUAUUCUAUAAUUGGCGCCAAAAUGGAGAAAGCACAGCUUGU